CCUUGGAAGUUACUGUCUACUAUUAUUUUGUUAGGGUUUUAAAUGAUUGUUUUUUUGUGUCAACUAUUAUUCCUCGGUUGAUUUCUGUACAUAAGGGUGUUUUGCGUUUAAUUUGUUGGCAGCACUUAUUGGCAAAAUCUGGAGUUUUUGGUUUGAAUUUUAUGUCAUAAGGUUGCAGAUUGAUAUCAAAUAAUGGUAAUGUUUUGCAUUUAUCACCUUACUUGAAUUGCAAAUUGAAACUUGUACUGUUUUCUGUUAUGUAAUGUGUACUGUAGUAUCAAGCAAUGUGUGUGUAAUCAAGCAAUCAGUUUCUUUUUAAAUAUACUCUGCUUGGAUUGUGAAUUGUUUUCAUUUCAUUGCUUCUAUAUAGAGUUUUAUUGUCCUGUUUUCUCGAUUUACACCUUUAUGAUCCUGUUUUCUCGAUUUACUCCUUUGCAGAUUGAUAUGAAAUAAUGGUGAUAUUUUGCAUUUAUCACCUUACAUGAAUUGCGAAUUGAAAUAUGUACUGUUUUCUGUUAUGUAGUGUGUUUUGCAUCAAUAGUGUUUUGUGUAGUAUCAAGCUAUGUGUAAUCAAGAAAUCAGUUUUUUUUUAAUAUACUCUUCUUGGAUUGUGAAUUAUCCUCGGUUUAUUCUUUUAAAAUUAUAUCCUCUUCCUUGCAGUUGUCAAAGUACUCCAGUGUAUUGUGUCAUUUCAUAUGGGCACAAAGUCUUGCAAAUUGGAUGGAAGUUUGUCCCACUGAAUCAUAUCAUCUUUUGCAGGCUGUGUCUAAUACUUCAUAAUCUGUUUCUAGGCCUUAAUUUGGCCAUCUAUGCUCACUCUUCACAUUUCAGUCUUUUUUAUACUCAGCUUUUGUCAGUCCCUUGUGAUAUGAUAUGGAACGUGUGACAGGAAGAUGUUCGCAUACUGUGUUCAACCUGGGAAAAGAUCGAUUGUUGUAUUACUUGGAUAUGUGUGUAAGCUUUCGGAUUUGUGAUAGUUGUUUCCUUUGAAGGCAUGUCUUGCUAUAGUUGGAGUUGUUGUGUUUCUGCAUUAGGAACGUGAAUAGAUGAAGCAUACAAAAUUCUAAAGUACAUCUUAGGGAGGUUGAGGAAUUUUGGACAACAUGGUUUGGCAUUCUAUUGUUCGGGGGUAUUUGCCUGUUAUAAUUAUUUUCCCUAUUUUCUUUUCAAUUGUGUUAUAUCUGAGCAGAAAAAUAAGAUUUUUUUCCCCAAAUGAGUGUCCCCCACAAAAUCUGUAAUUGCAGCAGCACCAGAAUCUGCAAUUUGCUGCUGCUGUUGUUCUUUCAUGUUGUGAUCUCCUCUGAUUGAAUUGUUGCACGAGUUCUAUGUUGGCGUCACAGGAGUUUGACUUCUCUUAGUAAGGCAUGGAGAUGUAAUAUAUAUGAUCACAAUUCCUUCGGAUUCAAUCUUCCUCUUUGAUAUUCAAGUUUUUAUAUUCCUACUCUCUCUUUUCCUUGGUUACAUUGGGUCUUAUGAUGAAGGGGUUUGAUCUGGUUCUUGCUGGUUUUGAACUUGGAGUUUGCUCUUCUUUUUUUAAUGGUCUUGUUUAGGUGUUAAUUUAUUGUUCUUUGAAUUCUAUUUUGAUAAUUUGUGUAGUUUUUCUAUAUAAUAAUGCUUCAUUUGAUAAACAUUCAAUGCUGUCAAAAUUAAAAGAAUAUUGACAUGUGAUUAUCUGUAUUGCAGCGAGCUGAUUUCGAGGUAUCUGGAUCAGUUUGCAAUUCUUGAUUACAAUGGAUAAGAACGAUUAUGAUUGCAAUUCUUUAUUAUUUUUAUUUUCAGACUUUGAUCACAAAACAUACAAUUUGAAAUCUAAACCUGUUUUUUUGCAGCUUUAUUUGUUAGUAUAAGUUUCAAUAGAUCAUGGAGCCUGCGUUUUGUUUUGGUGAUCUCUUUUAAAAUCUCUUAGUUUUCUAAAACUCUUUAUUCCUUUUGAAAUAAAUAUUAUUCUUGAUCUUUUAUUUUCUCUGGUGCGUUUCAGGAAAAGUAGUUUGUGAGCAUAUUAUUCUUCGGGUUUUGUAUUAUGGUUCCUUUAUGGUUUCUUGAUAUUGGGGUUUCAUUUUGUUCUGGAUUUUAUUGCCAUACAUGUGAAUUGAAAUAUGGCUCUAGUUUUUUUGGUACUGAGAUUCUUUCAUUUGAUUUCUUCUCUGAUGAUUCUGUUUGUCUAUUGAUGUUUAAUUGAAAAGAUCAGUCUUAAGGGUUUUUAACAUCAUUACUACUUUUGUCUUACAAAUGUUUGUUCUACAUUUGGGUUUUUGUAUUCAGAAAGUGCAAAAGUUUACAUAAUUUUCUAGACAUUCGGACAAAUUGGUAGGCCUCUCUCUGUUAUCCGGAUCUGCAACUUGGUUUGGAGAGUUAUGCUAUAUUCUUUCUAUCUUCUUGGUUCCUUUUUCUACAACCUAUCUGGCAGUUUAAUUUUUCUCUACAUUUAUCGUAUGUUGCUGACAGAGAAACUUUGCUGUACAACAGAAGUUUUCUUAAUUCUGAAUCACACUCACAUUUUUAUUUGGUCUAUAGUGGAGAAAUUGGAGAUGAGUGUCUCUGCUGCUUUGUAUAAAUUAUCUUUGGUGAACGAAUU